rnacentral:rRNA from 1 species
UGGGGAAUUUUGGACAAUGGGCGCAAGCCUGAUCCAGCCAUGCCGCGUGCGGGAAGAAGGCCUUCGGGUUGUAAACCGCUUUUGUCAGGGAAGAAAUCUUCUGAGUUAAUACCUCGGGAGGAUGACGGUACCUGAAGAAUAAGCACCGGCUAACUACGUGCCAGCAGCCGCGGUAAUACGUAGGGUGCAAGCGUUAAUCGGAAUUACUGGGCGUAAAGCGUGCGCAGGCGGUUUUGUAAGACAGAGGUGAAAUCCCCGGGCUCAACCUGGGAACUGCCUUUGUGACUGCAAGGCUUGAGUGCGGCAGAGGGGGGAUGGAAUUCCGCGUGUAGCAGUGAAAUGCGUAGAUAUGCGGAGGAACACCGAUGGCGAAGGCAAUCCCCUGGGCCUGCACUGACGCUCAUGCACGAAAGCGUGGGGAGCAAACAGGAUUAGAUAGCCCUGGUAGUCCACGCCCUAAACGAUGUCAACUGGUUGUUGGGAAGGUUCCUUCUCAGUAACGUAGCUAACGCGUGAAGUUGACCGCCUGGGGAGUACGGCCGCAAGGUUGAAACUCAAAUGAAUUGACGGGGU